rnacentral:rRNA from 1 species
GUAGUCCACGCUGUAAACGAUGAGUGCUAGGUGUUCGGGGUUUCGAUACCCUGGGUGCCGAAGUUAACGCAUUAAGCACUCCGCCUGGGGAGUACGGUCGCAAGACUGAAACUCAAAGGAAUUGACGGGGACCCGCACAAGCAGUGGAGUAUGUGGUUUAAUUCGAAGCAACGCGAAGAACCUUACCAGGUCUUGACAUCGGAACGACCGGCUUAGAGAUAAGCCUUUCCUUCGGGACGUUCCAGACAGGUGGUGCAUGGUUGUCGUCAGCUCGUGUCGUGAGAUGUUGGGUUAAGUCCCGCAACGAGCGCAACCCUUGACUUUAGUUGCCAGCAUUUCGGAUGGGCACU